UACGUAUGGAGCAAGCGUUGUCCGGAUUUACUGGGUGUUAAGGGAGCGUAGGUGGCGUGCAAGUCAGAAGUGAAAACCCAGGGCUCAACCUUGGGAUUGCUUUUGAAACUGUCAUGCUAGAGUGCAGGAGAGGUAAGUGGAAUUCCUAGUGUAGCGGUGAAAUGAGUAGAUAUUAGGAGGAACACCAGUGGCGAAGGCGGCUUACUGGACUGUAACUGACUCUGAGGCUCGAAAGCGUGGGGAGCAAACA
rnacentral:rRNA from 1 species